GAUGAACGCUGGCGGCGUGCCUAACACAUGCAAGUCGAGCGGCAGCGAGUUUCUCACUGUUUGCUUCUCUCUUUUGGUGUAUCCAAAAGAAUUAGGAGGAGCGAAGAGUGAGAAAUGUCGGCGAGCGGCGGACGGCUGAGUAACGCGUGGGAACGUGCCCCAAAGUGAGGAAUAACUGCCCGAAAGGGUAGCUAAUGCCGCAUAUGAUCUUCGGAUUAAAGGAUUUAUCCGCUUUGGGAGCGGCCCGCGUCGGAUUAGGUAGUUGGUGAGGUAAAGGCUCACCAAGCCGACGAUCCGUAGCUGGUCUGAGAGGAUGACCAGCCAGACUGGAACUGAGACACGGUCCAGACUCCUACGGGAGGCAGCAGUGAGGAAUCUUCCACAAUGGGCGAAAGCCUGAUGGAGCAACGCCGCGUGCAGGAUGAAGGCCUUCGGGUUGUAAACUGCUUUUAUUUGUGAAGA
rnacentral:rRNA from 1 species